AAAGUCGCCUUCGCCACUGGUGUUCCUCCAUAUCUCUACGCAUUUCACCGCUACACAUGGAAUUCCACUUUCCUCUUCUGCACUCAAGUCUCCCAGUUUCCAAUGACCCUCCACGGUUGAGCCGUGGGCUUUCACAUCAGACUUAAGAAACCACCUGCGCGCGCUUUACGCCCAAUAAUUCCGGAUAACGCUUGCCACCUACGUAUUACCGCGGCUGCUGGCACGUAGUUAGCCGUGGCUUUCUGGUUAGGUACCGUCAAGGUGCCAGCUUAUUCAACUAGCACUUGUUCUUCCCUAACAACAGAGUUUUACGACCCGAAAGCCUUCAUCACUCACGCGGCGUUGCUCCGUCAGACUUUCGUCCAUUGCGGAAGAUUCCCUACUGCUGCCUCCCGUAGGAGUCUGGGCCGUGUCUCAGUCCCAGUGUGGCCGAUCACCCUCUCAGGUCGGCUACGCAUCGUUGCCUUGGUGAGCCGUUACCUCACCAACUAGCUAAUGCGACGCGGGUCCAUCCAUAAGUGACAGCCGAAGCCGCCUUUCAAUUUCGAACCAUGCGGUUCAAAAUGUUAUCCGGUAUUAGCCCCGGUUUCCCGGAGUUAUCCCAGUCUUAUGGGCAGGUUAC
rnacentral:rRNA from 1 species